GAGUUUGAUUCUGGCUCAGAGUGAACGCUAGCGGCGUGGAUUAGGCAUGCAAGUCGCGCGCGAAAGUCCGCAAGGAUGAGUAAAGCGGCAAAAGGGUGAGUAAUACAUGGCUAACGUACCCCCGACUCCGGCACAACCACUGGAAACGGUGGCUAAUUCCGGAUGGCCCCCGAGGACCGCAUGGUCUUUGGGGUAAAGGUAGGGACCUUCGGGCCUUUCGGUUGGGGAGCGAGCCAUGGGCUAUCAGCUUGUUGGUGAGGUAAUGGCUCACCAAGGCUCUGACGGCUAGGCGGUCUGAGAGGAUGGCCGCCCACAUCGGGACUGAGACACUGCCCGGACUCCUACGGGAGGCUGCAGUCGAGGAUCUUCUGCAAUGGGCGCAAGCCUGACAGAGCGACGCCGCGUGAGGGAUGAAGGCUUUCGGGUUGUAAACCUCUUUCGCCCGUUACGAAUUCCUGGGAGUGAAUAGCUUCCAGGUUGACUAAGGCGGGUAAAGAAGCACCGGCUAACUACGUGCCAGCAGCCGCGGUAAUACGUAGGGUGCAAGCGUUACUCGGAAUCACUGGGCGUAAAGGGUGCGUAGGCGGCUCAUUAAGUUGGAUGUGAAAGCCCUCGGCUCAACCGAGGAACUGCGUCCAAAACUGGCGAGCUCG
rnacentral:rRNA from 1 species